rnacentral:rRNA from 1 species
GACGAAACGCUGGCGGCGCGCCUAACACAUGCAAGUCGAACGGAGUUAUUUCAGCAGAAGCUUUCGGGUGGACGCAGGGAUAACUUAGUGGCGAACGGGUGAGUAACACGUGAGGAACCUGCCCUGGAGUGGGGGACAACAGUUGGAAACGACUGCUAAUACCGCAUAAGCCCACAGCACCGCAUGGUAGCAGUGGGAAAAGGAGCAAUUCGCUCUGGGAUGGACUCGCGUCCGAUUAGCUGGAUGGUGAGGUAACGGCCCACCAUGGGCGACGAUCGGUAGCCCGGACUGAGAGGUUGAUCGGCCACAUUGGGACUGGAGACACGGCCCAG